CCUACGGGUGGCAGCAGUGAGGAAUAUUGGUCAAUGGGCGAGAGCCUGAACCAGCCAAGUCGCGUGAGGGAGUACUGCCCUAUGGGUUGUAAACCUCUUUUGUCGGGGAGCAAAAGCCGGACGUGUCCGGCUGUGAGAGUAUCCGAAGAAAAAGCAUCGGCUAACUCCGUGCCAGCAGCCGCGGUAAUACGGAGGAUGCGAGGGUUAUCCGGAUUUAUUGGGUUUAAAGGGUGCGCAGGCGGGUUUUUAAGUCAGCGGUAAAAUCGUGGGGCUCAACCCCAUCCAGCCGUUGAAACUGGGGAUCUAGAGUGUGCGAGAGGUAUGCGGAAUGCGUGGUGUAGCGGUGAAAUGCAUAGAUAUCACGCAGAACCCCGAUUGCGAAGGCAGCAUACCGGUGCACAACUGACGCUCAGGCACGAAAGCGUGGGUAUCGAACAGGAUUAGAUACCCGUGUAGUC
rnacentral:rRNA from 1 species